CAGAUAUUGGUCGCCUAACACUGGAAGUCCUCAUGCUCGCUCUCAGAUUCUGUCUUGUCUUUAUCAAUUUUCUGCAUUUUCUUAUUUUUCUUCUCCUUCAGACUCAAGUGAAGAGGCAUGUGAAAGCGACAAUAAAUCUAAAAACCAUACAUGGUCAGACUCUGAUGAUGACAUUCAUUCAUUUUUUGACAAAUAAUCACUCUUAAGAAGAAACAGUUUUAGAGAAUGAUAAGUGUUCUAGCAAUGUGAUAUUCUAACGAUUAAGAAGGAAUAUAUAGGAGAUAAAUUAAGAUUACUUGAAAUGGUUAUGUGAAAAGGGAGUAUUUGUUUAAUUGAUUUCACUAAACCAAAGUAAGACUUAAAUGAAAGUGUGCAGAAUGGAAAUUAAGGAUUUGCAUAGUGUUCAAAUUCAACAAAUGAAAAAUGUGCUGUACAUCAAUAAAUAUUUUUGAUAUUUGCA